UACACAUGGCUGCCGGGACGACUAACCC
rnacentral:piRNA from 1 species